UACGUAGGGGGCUAGCGUUGUCCGGAAUCAUUGGGCGUAAAGCGCGUGUAGGCGGCCCGGUAAGUCCGCUGUGAAAGUCGGGGGCUCAACCCUCGAAGGCCGGUGGAUACUGUCGGGCUCGAGUGCGGAAGAGGCGAGUGGAAUUCCUGGUGUAGCGGUGAAAUGCGCAGAUAUCAGGAGGAACACCAAUUGCGAAGGCAGCUCGCUGGGACGUUACUGACGCUGAGACGCGAAAGCGUGGGGAGCAAACAGG
rnacentral:rRNA from 1 species